rnacentral:rRNA from 1 species
UACGUAGGGGGCAAGCGUUGUCCGGAAUCAUUGGGCGUAAAGAGCGUGUAGGCGGCCCGAUCAGUCUGAUGUGAAAUCUUGAGGCUCAACCUCAAGCUGUCAUUGGAUACUGUCGGGCUUGAGUCCGGAAGAGGAGAGUGGAAUUCCUGGUGUAGCGGUGGAAUGCGCAGAUAUCAGGAGGAACAUCCGUGGCGAAGGCGGCUCUCUGGUACGGUACUGACGCUGAGACGCGAAAGCGUGGGGGAGCGAACAGG